rnacentral:rRNA from 1 species
CCUACUGGCGAGUGAGCGGCAAAAGCUCAAAUUUGAAAUCUGGCACCUUCGGUGUCCGAGUUGUAAUUUGAAGAAGGUAACUUUGGAGUUGGCUCUUGUCUAUGUUCCUUGGAACAGGACGUCACAGAGGGUGAGAAUCCCGUGCGAUGAGAUGCCCAAUUCUAUGUAAAGUGCUUUCGAAGAGUCGAGUUGUUUGGGAAUGCAGCUCUAAGUGGGUGGUAAAUUCCAUCUAAAGCUAAAUAUUGGCGAGAGACCGAUAGCGAACAAGUACAGUGAUGGAAAGAUGAAAAGAACUUUGAAAAGAGAGUGAAAAAGUACGUGAAAUUGUUGAAAGGGAAGGGCUUGAGAUCAGACUUGGUAUUUUGCGAUCCUUUCCUUCUUGGUUGGGUUCCUCGCAGCUUACUGGGCCAGCAUCGGUUUGGAUGGUAGGAUAAUGACUAAGGAAUGUGGCUCUACUUCGGUGGAGUGUUAUAGCCUUGGUUGAUACUGCCUGUCUAGACCGAGGACUGCGUCUUUGACUAGGAUGCUGGCAUAAUGAUCUUAAGCCACCCGUCUUGAAACCACGGACCACUAAA